GAUAAACGCUGGCGGCGUGCCUAACACAUGCAAGUCGAACGAUCCCGCAAGGGAGAGUGGCGGAAGGGUGAGUAACACGUGGGAAUCUACCUCCUCGCAGGGAACAACCUCUCGAAAGAGAGGCUAAUACCCAAAGGGUUAGAAAUGAUCAGAGUCGAAAGGCGUGAGGAGAGGAGCCCGCGGCCCAUCAGCUAGUUGGUGAGGUAAUGGCUUACCAAGGCUACGACGGGUAGGGGAUCUGAGAGGAUGUCCCCCACACUGGAACUGAAACACGGUCCAGACGCCUACGGGUGGCAGCAGUGAGGAAUAUUGGACAAUGGGCGAAAGCCCGAUCCAGCAACGCCGCGUGGAGGAUGAAGGCCUUCGGGUCGUAAACUUCUUUAGAGGGAGACGAGAAAGGACGGUAUCCCUAGAAUAAGCGACGGCAAACUACGUGCCAGCAGCCGCGGUAAU
rnacentral:rRNA from 1 species